UGGGGAAUAUUGGACAAUGGGCGCAAGCCUGAUCCAGCCAUGCCGCGUGAGUGAUGAAGUAUUUCGGUAUGUAAACUUCGAAAGAAUAGGAAGAAUAAAUGACGGUACUAUUUAUAAGGUCCGGCUAACUACGUGCCAGCAGCCGCGGUAAUACGUAGGGACCAAGCGUUGUUCGGAUUUACUGGGCGUAAAGGGCGCGUAGGCGGUGUGUCAAGUCAGUUGUGAAAUCUCCGAGCUUAACUCGGAACGGUCAACUGAUACUGUCACACUAGAGUACAGAAGGGGCAAUCGGAAUUCUUGGUGUAGCGGUGAAAUGCGUAGAUAUCAAGAGGAACACCUGAGGCGAAGGCGGGUUGCUGGGCUGAUACUGACGCUGAGGCGCGAAAGCUAGGGUAGCAAACGGGAUUAGAUACCCCAGUAGUCCCUGAGCGGGCUGGCAAGGCGCAU
rnacentral:rRNA from 1 species